rnacentral:rRNA from 1 species
CCUACGGGAGGCAGCAGUGAGGAAUAUUGGUCAAUGGACGAGAGUCUGAACCAGCCAAGUAGCGUGAAGGAUGACUGCCCUAUGGGUUGUAAACUUCUUUUAUAUGGGAAUAAAAUGUUCCACGUGUGGGAUUUUGUAUGUACCAUAUGAAUAAGGAUCGGCUAACUCCGUGCCAGCAGCCGCGGUAAUACGGAGGAUCCGAGCGUUAUCCGGAUUUAUUGGGUUUAAAGGGAGCGUAGGUGGAUUGUUAAGUCAGUUGUGAAAGUUUGCGGCUCAACCGUAAAAUUGCAGUUGGAACUGGCAGUCUUGAGGACAGUAGAGGUGGGCGGAAUUCGUGGUGUAGCGGUGAAAUGCUUAGAUAUCACGAAGAACUCCGAUUGCGAAGGCAGUUCACUGGACUGCAACUGACACUGAGGCUCGAAAGUGUGGGUAUCAAACAGGAUUAGAUACCCUUGUAGUC